UACGUAGGUGGCAAGCGUUGUCCGGAUUUAUUGGGUUUAAAGGGUGCGUAGGCGGUCUUCUAAGUCAGUUGUGAAAUACUUCAGCUUAACUGGAGAGGUGCAAUUGAUACUGGAAGACUUGAGUACUGAUGAGGUAGGCGGAAUGGACGGUGUAGCGGUGAAAUGCUUAGAUAUCGUCCAGAACACCGAUAGCGAAGGCAGCUUACUGAGGAGUAACUGACGCUGAGGCACGAAAGUGUGGGGAUCAAACAGG
rnacentral:rRNA from 1 species